rnacentral:misc_RNA from 1 species
AAGUCGUAACAAGGUUUCCGUAGGUGAACCUGCGGAAGGAUCAUUACUGAGUAAUAAGGGGUAGUUUCUUCUAGCUCUCCGCUGGUUAGACCUACCUCUUCCUUCUCUUCUACCCUUUUGUCAUUGUACUUCUUAGUUGCUUUGGUAAUUGUACUUGUAUGAUUACCAGAGGACACAUUUGAAAACCCUUUUUAGUAUCCAAAUAAUUGGUAUUCUAUUGUCUGAUUUUAUUACUUUAAUAGUACUAUAAAACUUUUAACAACGGAUCUCUUGGUUCUG